rnacentral:rRNA from 1 species
CGGAGUGGACGCACCACUGGUGUUCCGGUUGUGUCGCCAGACGCAUUGCCGGGUAGCUAAGUGCGGAAGAGAUAAGUGCUGAAAGCAUCUAAGCACGAAACUUGCCAAGAGAUGAGUUCUCCCAAUCAAAGAGAUUGUAAGGGUUGUUGUAGACUACGACGUAGAUAGGUCUGGUGUGUAAGUGUAGUGAUACAUUGAGCUAACAGAUACUAAUUGCCCGAGAGGCUUAACUAUACAACGCUCAAG